rnacentral:rRNA from 1 species
AUUGAACGCUGGCGGCAGGCUUAACACAUGCAAGUCGAGCGGGGUGAUGGUGCUUGCACUAUCACUUAGCGGCGGACGGGUGAGUAAUGCUUAGGAAUCUGCCUAUUAGUGGGGGACAACAUCUCGAAAGGGAUGCUAAUACCGCAUACGUCCUACGAGAGAAAGCAGGGGAUCACUUGUGACCUUGCGCUAAUAGAUGAGCCUAAGUCGGAUUAGCUAGUUGGUGGGGUAAAGGCCAACCAAGGCGACGAGCUGUAGCGGGUCUGAGAGGAUGAUCCGCCACACUGGGACUGAGACACGGCCCAGACUCCUACGGGAGGCAGCAGUGGGGAAUAUUGGACAAUGGGGGGAACCCUGAUCCAGCCAUGCCGCGUGUGUGAAGAAGGCCUUAUGGUUGUAAAGCACUUUAAGCGAGGAGGAGGCUCUUUUGGUUAAUACCCAAGAUGAGUGGACGUUACCCGCAGAAUAAGCACCGGCUAACUCUGUGCCAGCAGCCGCCGUAA